ACCGCUUCUCCUCCCAACGUCCUCCAAAUUCUCGAACAACGCGGCCUUCUCGACUCCAUCACCAGCGACAAUCUCCGCUCCGCUUGUCUCACCCCUCUCAAGGUCUAUUGCGGCUUCGAUCCCACCGCCCAGAGCUUACAUUUAGGCAAUCUUCUUGGUCUCAUCGUUCUCUCUUGGUUUCGCCGAUGUGGCCACACCACCGUCGCUCUCAUCGGCGG
rnacentral:misc_RNA from 1 species